UCCCUGGUGGUCUAGUGGUUAGGAUUUGGCACUUUCACUGCCACGGCCUGGGUUCAUUUUCCAGUCAGGGAA